UUGACGGUACCUAACCAGAAAGCCACGGCUAACUACGUGCCAGCAGCCGCGGUAAUACGUAGGUGGCAAGCGUUGUCCGGRAUUAUUGGGCGUAAAGGGCUCGCAGGCGGUUUCUUAAGUCUGAUGUGAAAGCCCCCGGCUCAACCGGGGAGGGUCAUUGGAAACUGGGAAACUUGAGUGCAGAAGAGGAGAGUGGAAUUCCACGUGUAGCGGUGAAAUGCGUAGAGAUGUGGAGGAACACCAGUGGCGAAGGCGACUCUCUGGUCUGUAACUGACGCUGAGGAGCGAAAGCGUGGGGAGCGAACAGGAUUAGAUACCCUGGUAGUCCACGCCGUAAACGAUGAGUGCUAAGUGUUAGGGGGUUUCCGCCCCUUAGUGCUGCAGCUAACGCAUUAAGCACUCCGCCUGGGGAGUACGGUCGCAAGACUGAAACUCAAAGGAAUUGACGGGGGCCCGCACAAGCGGUGGAGCAUGUGGUUUAAUUCGAAGCAACGCGAAGAACCUUACCAGGUCUUGACAUCCUCUGACAACCCUAGAGAUAGGGCUUUCCCUUCGGGGACAGAGUGACAGGUGGUGCAUGGUGUCGUCAGCUCGGUCGUUCU
rnacentral:rRNA from 1 species